GUCUCUACAUGGAGCUGAUUUUAAGGACCAUCUUGGCAGUGCUGCUUCUGCGUGGUGCAUUCCUUUUCCACAAAGCAUGCUCCUGUCUCCCCUGCUAUAUGUGAUGGCACCUUUCAGAAUAUUCAUCGAGACUAGCAUAUCUGAAACACAUCAUGAAAACAACAUUUAGCGAGAAGAAAUGAUAGAAAACUUAAAAUCCCAUUGGAUCCAGGAGCUCACUAGGAUCAAGAAUAUUACCACUUUAUGUCUAGUUUAUGGGUGUAUACCCAAUGCAUUUUCUCAGAUCAUCCCAGAAUGGAAAGAAAUCUAUCUUAAAGAAGAAUUUGAUAUCCUUGUUCAGUCUGAAGACACAAUUAUACAACAUAUCAAUUCUACUUCAGGAUGUAAUAAA